UUUUCUUCAAUUUCAAAACUCUAUAACUCACUCAUUCUUAAUCGGAAUUGAGUGAUUCUUGUUCCUAUGAGUUCACAAUGAAGAGAGGGACGAAAUGAUAUCCAUAUUGCUCAUGGAAAUCUGCCAUGCCCGGUAGCUCGCCGUGAGCCGCCAUCUCCGGCAGUGGAGGUUGACACCACUUGCUUCAAAAUGUUGAGGACGACGUCGGGAUGCUAAGCCCUCAAGAAAUUUUAAGGAAAGAGCUUCUAUGUUUGAGGCUUGAAGUUGUCCUCUUCAGCUAUAGCAACUGCAAUGCUUAAUCUGAUACCGGCAAUCACCAUUUUAAUGGCAACUGUUGUUGGAUUGGAGAAAAUAAAUCUACGAAGCUUUAGAAGCGUUGAUCAAUCACAAAAUUGGCAACAUCCUCGAAAUCAAUCCUAACGAGCCUCGAUGGAGUUGAGAAUAUGCCACCUUGGCUGCUUAUUUCUCUUCAUAAGUUGCUGUUGCAAUUCAUUUUGGAUUGUUAUGCAGGUUAAAGUUAAAAUGGAAUAAAAAGAGUGAGAAUUUGACUUCUGAACAUAUUUUAGUAUUUUGGCCAUAUCUCUCUCAUCUGAAGUUUAAAUGAGGUGAUCUUAAUGGCGUUGGAAAGAUAAGAGAUAGAGCUACAACUUUCGUGAAGACACCAAACACUAAUUCGGCCAUAGAAGGCAAAAAUCUCCCUCAAAGUCAGACACCCGUUGCACUGAGAAAUCCAUCCGCUGCAGCGGAUUUCCUACCAGAGACCAGUCCAAAAUGCGCGUUGUAGCGCCCAUUUGUAUUCCCACUCAUCCGCUGCAAUAGAAAAUGGUCCGCCGCAACGGUCGUGCCAGUUCCGCUAGGAUUUUUUGAGAAAAACCUAGCGGCGUUGCAGUGGGAAAGUGAUCCGCUGCAACGCAUGUGCACGAGAUGCUGUCAUUUUAGAGUUGAUAUAAAAGGCAAAUGGGCUGAAAAUAAAGGUGGAGAGGAAGAGAGGAAAAAGAGGCACAAAAUCUCUAGAGAAGAAGGAACUUUGGAGGCUCAAAUUUCAUGAUUUCGUUGAAGAUCCUUGAAGAAGAUGGUGGAUUCAAGCUUAGAAGAUCAUUCUUCCAGCAUAGUUAUUCCU